rfam:Ipomoea nil DNA, scaffold: scaffold3400, cultivar: Tokyo-kokei standard.
GCACCAGUGGUCAAGUGGUAGAAUAGUACCCUGCCACGGUACAAACCUGGGUUCGAUUCCCGGCUGGUGCA